rnacentral:rRNA from 1 species
GAUGAACGCUGGCGGCGUGCCUAAUACAUGCAAGUCGAGCGAACAGACGAGGAGCUUGCUCCUCUGACGUUAGCGGCGGACGGGUGAGUAACACGUGGAUAACCUACCUAUAAGACUGGGAUAACUUCGGGAAACCGGAGCUAAUACCGCAUAAUAUAUUGAACCGCAUGGUUCAAUAGUGAAAGACGGUUUUGCUGUCACUUAUAGAUGGAUCCGCGCCGCAUUAGCUAGUUGGUAAGGUAACGGCUUACCAAGGCAACGAUGCGUAGCCGACUUGAGAGGGUGAUCGGCCACACUGGAACUGAGACACGGUCCAGACUCCUACGGGAGGCAGCAGUAGGGAAUCUUCCGCAAUGGGCGAAAGCCUGACGGAGCAACGCCGCGUGAGUGAUGAAGGUCUUCGGAUCGUAAAACUCUGUUAUUAGGGAAGAACAAAUGUGUAAGUAACUAUGCACGUCUUGACGGUACCUAAUCAGAAAGCCACGGCUAACUACGUG